CCUACGGGGGGCGGCAGUGAGGAAUAUUGGUCAAUGGGCGCAAGCCUGAACCAGCCAUCCCGCGUGCAGGAAGACGGCGCUAUGCGUUGUAAACUGCUUUUCCAGGGAGAGAAACUUGCGCACGUGUUGCGCAAUUGACGGUACCCUGGGAAUAAGCAUCGGCUAACUCCGUGCCAGCAGCCCCGGUC
rnacentral:rRNA from 1 species